UACGUAGGGUGCGAGCGUUAAUCGGAAUUACUGGGCGUAAAGCGUGCGCAGGCGGUUUUGUAAGCCAGAUGUGAAAUCCCCGGGCUUAACCUGGCAAUGGCAUUUGGGACUGCAAGGCUUGAGUGCGGCAGAGGAGACUGGAAUUCCUGGUGUAGCAGUGAAAUGCGUAGAUAUCAGGAGGAACACCAAUGGCGAAGGCAGAUCUCUGGGCCGUAACUGACGCUGAGGUGCGAAAGCGUGGGGAGCAAACAGG
rnacentral:rRNA from 1 species